GGCCAAGUUUUUUAGGGCACACGGUGGAUGCCUUGGCAUCAGGAGCCGAUGAAGGACGUGGGAGGCUGCGUUAAGCCUCGGGGAGUCGCCAACCAGACGUUGAUCCGGGGAUGUCCGAAUGGGGAAACCUAGCACCAGUCAUGUGGUGUUGCCUCCGCCUGAAUGUAUAGGGCGGUUGGUGGUAACGCGGGGAAGUGAAACAUCUCAGUACCCGUAGGAAGAGAAAACAAUAGUGAUUCCGUGAGUAGUGGUGAGCGAAAGCGGAUGAGGCUAAACCGGGCGUGUGUGAUAGCCGGCAGGCGUUGCAUGUUCGGGGUUGUGGGACCUUCUUGAGGUAUCUGCCGCUGUCUCGGAGAGCAGUGAUAAAUCCAUCUGAUAGUUGAAGCCUCUGGGAAGGGGCGCCGUAGACCGUGAGAGCCGGGUAGGCGAAAUUGGAUGGACUGUUGGAGGGGAUCCCCAAGUAGCACGGGGCUCGAGGAAUCCUGUGUGAAUCUGCCAGGACCACCUGGUAAGCCUAAAUACUCCCUGGUGACCGAUAGUGCACGAGUACCGUGAGGGAAAGGUGAAAAGUGCCCCGGUGAGGGGUCGUGAAAUAGUACCUGAAACCGUGUGCCUACAAGCCGUAGGAGCUUACAGCUGGGCUUCGCUCAGCUGUUGAUGUGACUGCGUGCCUUUUGAAGAAUGAGCCUGCAAGUUAUGGUGUGUGCCAAGGUUAACCCGUGUGGGGAAGCCGUAGCGAAAGCGAGUCUGAAGAGGGCGUUUGAGUCGCAUGCUGUAGACCCGAAGCGGGGUGAUCUACGCAUGGGCAGGUUGAAGCUCAGGUAAGACUGGGUGGAGGACCGAACCCACCAGGGUUGAAAACCUGGGGGAUGAUCUGUGUGUAGGGGUGAAAGGCCAAUCAAACUCCGUGAUAGCUGGUUCUCCCCGAAAUGCAUUUAGGUGCAGCGUUGCGUGUUUCUUGCCGGAGGUAGAGCACUGGAUGGCCGAUGGGCCCGACAAGGUUACUGACGUCAGCCAAACUCCGAAUGCCGGUAAGUGAGAGCGUGGCAGUGAGACUGCGGGCGAUAAGGUUCGUAGUCGAGAGGGAAACAGCCCAGAUCACCGACUAAGGCCCCUAAGCGUGUGCUAAGUGGGAAAGGAUGUGGAGUCGCAGAGACAACCAGGAGGUUGGCUUAGAAGCAGCCAUCCUUGAAAGAGUGCGUAAUAGCUCACUGGU
rnacentral:rRNA from 1 species